AACGAACGCUGGCGGCAGGCUUAACACAUGCAAGUCGAGCGCCCGCAAGGGGAGCGGCAGACGGGUGAGUAAUGCGUGGGAAUCUACCCAUCCCUACGGAAUAGCUCCGGGAAACUGGAAUUAAUACCGUAUACGCCCUACGGGGGAAAGAUUUAUCGGGGAUGGAUGAGCCUGCGUUAGAUUAGCUAGUUGGUGGGGUAAAGGCCUACCAAGGCGACGAUCCAUAGCUGGUCUGAGAGGAUGAUCAGCCACAUUGGGACUGGGACACAGCCCAAACUCCUACGGGAGGCAGCAGUGGGGAAUAUUGGACAAUGGGGGCAACCCUGAUCCAGCCAUGCCGCGUGAGUGAUGAAGGCCUUAGGGUUGUAAAGCUCUUUCACCGGGGAAGAUAAUGACGGUACCCGGAGAAGAAGCCCCGGCUAACUUCGUGCCAGCCGCCGCCGUAA
rnacentral:rRNA from 1 species